GAUGAACGCUAGCGGCAGGCUUAAUACAUGCAAGUCGAGGGGCAUCAAGGUACACGAAAGUGUAUUGUUGGCGACCGGCGGACGGGUGAGUAAUAGGUAGGUAACCUACCUCAUACUGAGGCAUAGCUGGGAGAAAUUCCAGGUAAUUCCUCAUGAGGUUAUAUGACACAUGUGAUAUAAUCAAAGGUAUCGCAAGGUACUGGUAUGAGAUGGGCUUACUGACCAUUAGCUAGUUGGUGAGAUAAGAGCUCACCAAGGCGAAGAUGGUUAGGGGUUUGAGAGAGAGAUCCCCCACAUUGGAACUGAGAUACGGUCCAGACUCCUACGGGAGGCAGCAGUAGGGAAUAUUGGGCAAUGGGCGGAAGCCUGACCCAGCCAUGCCGCGUGAAGGAGACGGCCUUAUGGGUUGUAAACUUCUUUACUAUGCGACUAACUAGAUUUACGAGAUAAUUCUAUAGAAUGUAGCAUAGACAAAAGCACCGGA
rnacentral:rRNA from 1 species